rnacentral:rRNA from 1 species
GCCAGACUCCUACGGGAGGCAGCAGUGGGGAAUAUUGGGCAAUGGGCGCAAGCCUGACCCAGCAACGCCGCGUGAAGGAAGAAGGCUUUCGGGUUGUAAACUUCUUUUCUUGGGGACGAAGAAAGUGACGGUACCCAAGGAAUAAGCCACGGUUAACUACGUGCCAGCAGCCGCGGUAAUACGUAGGUGGCAAGCGUUAUCCGGAUUUAUUGGGUGUAAAGGGCGUGUAGGCGGGAAUGCAAGUCAGAUGUGAAAACUGUGGGCUCAACCCAUAGCCUGCAUUUGAAACUGUAUUUCUUGAGUGCUGGAGAGGCAAUCGGAAUUCCGUGUGUAGCGGUGAAAUGCGUAGAUAUACGGAGGAACACCAGUGGCGAAGGCGGAUUGCUGGACAGUAACUGACGCUGAGGCGCGAAAGCGUGGGGAGCAAACAGGAUUAGAUACCCCCGUAC